CCUGUGAGCAACUAUAAAUACAGUGGACAUAAGUGGAUACUUUUGUGCAGCAGUGUCUUUGAAGUCAAACCCACAUGUUUGAACAGUUGGCUUUUUGCAGGUUAAGCUCGGGAUGGUCUGAAGUACACAUGUGAUGGGUUUCCAGAACUCAGCUGGUGGAUGGUAAUAUUUGGAACCAUGAAAGACUUCUUGGAAAUCUCCAGAGCCAAGUUCAGAAAUCAGUCACUGCCUCCCUAAUGUUUCCUGAGUAUUUUUCCUCUAUUCCUAACUUAAGAGGCUGGUGGUGUGGUUUUGGGUCAUAACUCCCACUGGAGUAUUAAGGCGUACAAAGAUAAAGAAUCAAGAC